CAUUUUUAGAACUAUAGUUAAUUAAAUUACCUGAAACCGUUCCGAAUUCAAAAGGUAAAUAUUUUUAAUUGAUGUUUUAUUUGAUAUAUAAUUCGAAAAAAACAUUUUCUCAAGGCU
rnacentral:rRNA from 1 species